rnacentral:rRNA from 1 species
UGAGUGACCUGCCGAUUUGUGGGGGAUAGCCGGGCCAACGCCCGGAUAAUACCGCAUACGCUCUUCUUGGGGCAUCUCUAGAAGAGGAAACCUCCGGGGCAAAUCGAGGGACUCGCGGCCUAUUAGCUAGUUGGUGAAGUAACGGCUCACCAAGGCAACGAUCCGUAGCUGGUCUGAGAGGAUGAUCAGCCACACGUGGGACUGAGACACGGCCCAGACCUCCGUACGGGAGCAG